rnacentral:rRNA from 1 species
UGGGGAAUAUUGGACAAUGGGCGAAAGCCUGAUCCAGCCAUGCCGCGUGUGUGAAGAAGGUCUUCGGAUUGUAAAGCACUUUAAGUUGGGAGGAAGGGCAUUAACCUAAUACGUUAGUGUUUUGACGUUACCGACAGAAUAAGCACCGGCUAACUCUGUGCCAGCAGCCGCGGUAAUACAGAGGGUGCAAGCGUUAAUCGGAAUUACUGGGCGUAAAGCGCGCGUAGGUGGUUUUUUAAGUUGGAUGUGAAAUCCCCGGGCUCAACCUGGGAACUGCAUUCAAAACUGACUGACUAGAGUAUGGUAGAGGGUGGUGGAAUUUCCUGUGUAGCGGUGAAAUGCGUAGAUAUAGGAAGGAA